UAUUAUUAAACAUAACGAAAUUGCGCCAAACAUAAAUGCAUACGGCACGCUUCGAAAUACUGCAAGGGUGAUUACGAAAUAACGAUCGAACAGCCGUUUCAUUGCUUAUUUUCAUAUAUGUUUAUAGAUUACAAGAAUUGACAAGGCGGUCAGUGGAGACUACAUUAGCUCAGAGUAUCAGUGUCAAAUAUAGUGUUCAUAAUGCUUCAUAAAUGUAAUUAUUUAAUGCUUACUCACAACAGUUUAGAGACUACAAGAAUUGACAAGGUAGUCCAUAGAUAAGUAAACAUAAAGGUAGUCCGUGGAGACUACAUUGGAUCAAAAUCAAUUACAUAUAUCUAUGUUACAUGCCGUUACAUCCGUCUGAGCUGCCAGAAAGAUAUUUCACUUUCUUUUUGGACUUGCUGGGAGCAAACAUUUGAGGCACAUAUAACAAUGGAAACCCUUUUCCAGAAGAAGCUAUGAUUAUUUUGGAGAACCUUGCAUUGUAGUGAGGUGGAGUGUACAUUGACCACACAAUCUUAAUUUUUAAGCAAAUGUAUUUUAUCAUGGAACUACUUCUUUUUUACUCGCGGGGAGACUAAAUAGCUUAUUCAUUUUAAAUGAAUAUGAAGGAGCAAUUAAGACAUAUUUUUUAUGGAUUCCAAAUAGUGCAGGAAAUCUUUAGUGAGUAUAGAUUAAGAAUUAAAUUUUUCUUUAAUCAUCUUGGAAUUUUAGCAAUUGAAAUCAGUUGAAGCCUUUCACAAAUAUACUAUUUAUGGCAUGAAGUUUGUGAGUCAGUGAUCCUAGUGAUCGCAUUCAUCAAACGGUAGUUGUCUAAUUCAGUUCAGGCAAUUUGACUUAAGAAAUACGCCUGCAGAAAUACAAAAAUUGCGCAUUAUCAAAUUGCAAGGUGAUUGGAUUGGAUUGGAACAAGUACAAGCACAAGCCAACUGGCAUAUUUAUCGGCCACUGUGAUUAUUACACCACAAUCAGCUAGAAUGAUACAACG